CACGUAGGAUGCGAGCGUUGUCCGGAAUCAUUGGGCGUAAAGAGCGCGCAGGCGGCUUGGCAAGUCGGGGGUGAAAUCCCGGGGCUCAACCCCGUGACUGCAUCCGAUACUGUCAGGCUAGAGGUAGGUAGGGGAGAUCGGAAUUCCUGGUGUAGCGGUGAAAUGCGCAGAUAUCAGGAGGAACACCGGUGGCGAAGGCGGAUCUCUGGGCCUUACCUGACGCUCAGGCGCGAAAGCUAGGGGAGCGAACAGG
rnacentral:rRNA from 1 species